UACAGAGGGUGCAAGCGUUAAUCGGAAUUACUGGGCGUAAAGCGCACGUAGGCGGAUACUUAAGUCAAUUGUGAAAGCCCCGGGCUCAACCUGGGAACUGCAGUUGAUACUGGGUAUCUAGAGUAUGGUAGAGGUAUGUGGAAUUCCCGGUGUAGCAGUGAAAUGCGUAGAGAUCGGGAGGAACACCAGUGGCGAAGGCGGCAUACUGGACCAAUACUGACGCUGAGGUGCGAAAGCGUGGGGAGCAAACAGG
rnacentral:rRNA from 1 species